CGCUCGUCGCCCGUUUGCCGACCCGCAGUAGGGGCCAUUUGCCCCAAGGGCACGUGUCGUUGGCUAAGCCGUCGUGGCGGAAGGGUCACGGUGGCCGCCUUGAAUUACAAUUCCGAUCGAGCGGCGAGCUGAAUCCUUUGCAGACGACUUAAAUACGCGACGGGGUAUUGUAAGGGGUAGAGUGGCCUUGCUGCCACGAUCCUCUGAGAUUCAGCCCUUUGUCGCUCGAUUCGU
rnacentral:ncRNA from 1 species